rnacentral:rRNA from 1 species
AUUGAACGCUGGCGGCAGGCCUAACACAUGCAAGUCGAGCGAGCGGCGGACGGGUGAGUAAUGUCUGGGAAACUGCCUGAUGGAGGGGGAUAACUACUGGAAACGGUAGCUAAUACCGCAUACCAUCAGAUGUGCCCAGAUGGGCUUAGCUAGUAGGUGGGGUAACGGCUCACCUAGGCGACGAUCCCUAGCUGGUCGGAGAGGAUGACCAGAGACACUGGAAAUGAGAAACGGUACAGACUCCUACGGGAGGCAGCAGGGGGGAGUAUGGCACAAUGGGCGCAAGGCUGAUGCAGCCAGGCGGCGUGUGUGAAGAAGGCCGUCGGGUUGUAAAGCACUUUCAGCGUGGAGGCGUUACCCGCAGAAGAAGCACCGGCUAACUCCGUGCCAGCAGCCGCGGUAAUUC